rnacentral:rRNA from 1 species
UUUGAUCAUGGCUCAGGACGAACGCUGGCGGCGUGCUUAAAACAUGCAAGUCGAACGGUGAAGUGAGGAGCUUGCUCCUUGCGGAUCAGUGGCGAACGGGUGAGUAACACGUGAGUAACCUGCCCCUCUCUCUGGGAUAAGCGCUGGAAACGGCGUCUAAUACCGGAUACGACCUUCGGAGGCAUCUCCUGGAGGUGGAAAGAAUUUCGGUGAGGGAUGGACUCGCGGCCUAUCAGCUUGUUGGUGAGGUAAUGGCUCACCAAGGCGACGACGGGUAGCCGGCCUGAGAGGGUGACCGGCCACACUGGGACUGAGACACGGCCCAGACUCCUACGGGAGGCAGCAGUUGGGAAUAUUGCACAAUGGGCGCAAGCCUGAUGCAGCAACGCCGCGUGAGGGAUGACGGCCUUCGGGUUGUAAACCUCUUUUAGUAGGGAAGAAGCGAA